AAAAUAAUGUGGCUCAAGAAUACUGUUCCAUCAAGUAGCCAAAGAGUAAACUUGGGAUCAUAGUACUGAUCUAGUGUUGUCUUUUCAGACAUAACUAACACUGACCAGCCUCCAAAUCCCCACACAUGA